GAUUAACGCUAGCGGCAGGCCUAAUACAUGCAAGUCGAACGGGAUUUCGGGUAGCAAUAUCUGAAUGAGAGUGGCGCACGGGUGCGUAACACGUAUGCAAUCUGCCUCUGACUGGGGAAUAGCCUUCCGAAAGGAAGAUUAAUACCGCAUAAUAUAAUAGAGUAGCAUUACUUUGUUAUCAAACUACUGGUGGUCAGAGAUGAGCAUGCGUCCGAUUAGCUAGUUGGCGGGGUAACGGCCCACCAAGGCGACGAUCGGUAGGGGGUCGUGAGAGGAGUG
rnacentral:rRNA from 1 species